ensembl:lncRNA
CUGUAAUGCUCUCACAAGUUCUAAAACCUCAUCAAUCCUUAUAAAUCCUGUAACAAUCUCUACCUGUUUGAUUUUUCCUUAAUUAAAAAUAAGUUUGAGUUAGUCAAUGUAACACUGGCAAUCCUAAAUCACAAUCUUUAAGUUCUCUUUGUAACACCAGAACACAGCCACAAGGUCACCUGAAUUCUGAGUACGUGACUAGGCAGCUGUUCUCCCGGCAGUGGAAAUUAACAUUAAAAUACAGAUAACUUCUGCGCAAGCCACAACUUUGGAAAGUAAAACUUAUUAGGCAGCUGUUUUUGGGGCAGUGGAAUUAGCAUUAAAAUACAGAUAACUUCUGGGCAAGCCACAGCUUUGGAAAGCAAAACUCAACCUCCAACAAACAAUCUAGUCUCCAAGGCACCACAGGUCUAUCUAUUAUGUUACAAAGUUUGACUGUCAAUUCUUACAUUUGGACUCACAAAGGUGUGGCCUCCAACACCUCAACCAGGGACAAUGUCCUAAAUUCUUUUAGAAGCCUGGUUUCUAGCAUAAGAAUUCCAUAAAAACAUUACCUCAAUUUAGACCUGUUUCCCUAGGUUGGCCCAUGUCACACGCUAUCUAAAAUGACUCCAUCCAGAUUACUAGCUUUAUGUCAACUUUCUGUUACCAAUAUUAUACCCUUUUAACCAUAUCCAAUAACUUGAAAGCCAAUAGUCCACAACCAAGUCAAGGUGUGCACGACCAGCAGAUAAAGUUUUUUACCAUUUUUUUUCUUUUGACCACGAAACAUAAAACAUUUAAGCAACGAGAAACAAAAACCACAGACAUAAACUGACAGACAUGGACAGCCUGGUGCACCAGAGACAAACAAUAGACAAAGAGGGGAAAAAGCCAGAUGGUGUUCACGGCGACUAUCCAUCGAGUGGAGCUGAUAUGGGCGAUGGAUUGUCUCAAUUCCUGGACUAGUCCACCAACGUGUUGAAACCCAAUUCUGUAAGAAACUGAGAGAUAUCUGAACAGUAUGACCGACAUUCGCCAAUGGUAUGGAAGUGAAACACAGCCCGGAGUAUUUUUACUCACAACCCAAUUACAUUAACUCUAUCAGGCUGUGCACGGGGACUGAGAUGUCCUUUUGUUUGAUUCUCCUGAAUAAAUUUUCAGGCGGUCUGCCUCUAUCAAAUCUGAUCAGUAUGACUCUGUAAAGCUGUCGCGUCAGCACCCGGAUGCCGCAGCAUCCCCAGAGCCGGCGCGGGAGCU